rnacentral:lncRNA from 1 species
AACACUUGACCCCUUGAACCUUUUUUUCUUUCUUUUUAAAAAAAAUUAAAAAUAAAAACAGAAAUUAUCAAAAAACAAAAUAAAAACAGAGAAAUUAAACAUUGAACCCACAAUGCAAAAUUCUGAAUUCACGGUUUCUUCAAACCAAUCGAUUCCCAGCAAAUUAAACAACCCUAGAAACGAAAUUGUUCCUCUUCUCCCAUCAAACUCAAAUCAAUCGAACUCGGUGCAACCGUUUCCCCAGAGAAAUUCAACUCAGAGUAAUCGUUUCCCAUAAAUCGUUCCUCUCCUCCAAUUGAUUUCCUGCAAUCAAUUUCCUUCUCCUAUCGUUGUGAACCCUAAUAUGCAAGAACCCAGAAAUCACUGUGAAUCCCAUAAAUCCUGUUUUCUCCACCAUAUUGUGAACCCAGAACCUAGCAAUUUAACUGUCCGAAGUCGUACUCGAGCUCGUUCCUUGCCUUGGUCAUCACAACUCGUUCCUCGCCGAGCUCAUCACAACUCAAACCUCCAUCAUGAAGGUAGGCUUAGGAAUGUUUGAGAAAAAUUAAUUUACAAAAUUGAUUUAAGUUAGAAGACAAAGUUGUUUUGGGUGUUGUUCAAAAUGUUUUUGUCUAUUAGCUUAUGGUUUUUGUUUGUUAGGAUGUAUUUAUAAGUUCAAAAUUGAUUUAAGUUAGAAGACAAAAUUGUUUUUAGGUGUUGGCUAUUCAGCUAUGAUUUUUUCAACCGUAGUAAAUUGAAAAGAUUAAAUGGCAAUGAUGAUGCAUGUAUCAUGUCCAUUACGUUUAACUUAAAUGGAUAACAUGUAGGUUGAAGAGAGUGUAUAAUUACUAAUAUCAUAGUAUUUGGUGUCACUGAUGUUGAUUUGUUGGCAUUAGUUUGGUAUGAUAUUUUGUCUAUGACUAGUAUAUAAUUGAUUUAGUUGCGCGGUAUCUUUUUUUAUUGUUUAGUUCAAGAAUUAAUAAUAAGGUUCUAAUACUGGUAUACAUGAUAGAAAUCAAUCUGAAAUUGUAGUUAGGCGAUGAAAGAUUGAAUAACAAGUGAAGUGAAUCAAAAUUAAAGGUUUAUUUGCACUAGUUUAACUUUAAAUUAGAUGUGUAGCUUAAGCUCAUUUUAACAUGCUAUUAUAUCUAAUGGUGUGGGAACUGGGAACUACAAUUUAUAAAUGAAUUCAAUUGAGAUAACUUGAUUCUUAGAUAUGUAUAAUUGGUUUUGUUCUGUCUACAUUCCAAACAAGUGAAUGAUUCUUUUUUCAGGAUUUGAUACCUUUGAUAUAAUAUUAUUAUGCUUCUACUAUAGAAGACUUUUACCAGAUUCAGACCACAAUGCUGCAUCUUAAUUAGGCAUCAUGAUCUCUCUAAUAUUUAUUUUAUUUUUCUUAAUUGACUUGCUUUGUUGUAUUGAAUGACUGGAAUGGUAAUUGUCCAAUUCAAUAGCUAUUACUUCAAAUGUCAUCUGACUUUGUUGCUAUGAUCAGUGUUAUAUAUGGACAUGAUUAUUAUGAAAUGGCGGCCUUGAAUGAACUCUCUCCUAUUGAUAUGUUUUAACUCUUAACAUUUUGGUUGUCUUGUAGUCUGAAUGUGCAUGUAAACAUGUCAGUCAUAAGCCAUAGACCUUAAAUUUGAUAUAAAAGAAUUCGAUCUGGAAAAUUGGGGA